rnacentral:rRNA from 1 species
UACGAAGGGGGCUAGCGUUGUUCGGAUUUACUGGGCGUAAAGCGCACGUAGGCGGAUCGAUCAGUCAGGGGUGAAAUCCCAGAGCUCAACUCUGGAACUGCCUUUGAUACUGUCGAUCUGGAGUAUGGAAGAGGUGAGUGGAAUUCCGAGUGUAGAGGUGAAAUUCGUAGAUAUUCGGAGGAACACCAGUGGCGAAGGCGGCUCACUGGUCCAUUACUGACGCUGAGGUGCGAAAACGUGGGGAGCAAACAGG